rnacentral:tRNA from 2 species
GUGGUUGUAGUUCAGUUGGUUAGAGCGUCAGAUUGUGGUUCUGAAUGUCGUGGGUUCGAAUCCCACCAUCCACC